rnacentral:rRNA from 1 species
UACGUAGGGCGCAAGCGUUAUCCGGAAUUAUUGGGCGUAAAGAGCUCGUAGGCGGUCUGUCGCGUCUGCCGUGAAAGUCCGGGGCUCAACUCCGGAUCUGCGGUGGGUACGGGCAGACUAGAGUGAUGUAGGGGAGACUGGAAUUCCUGGUGUAGCGGUGAAAUGCGCAGAUAUCAGGAGGAACACCGAUGGCGAAGGCAGGUCUCUGGGCAUUAACUGACGCUGAGGAGCGAAAGCAUGGGGAGCGAACGGG